CGGCAACAGCUCAAAUUUGAAAUCUGGCCCUCGUGGUCCGAGUUGUAAUUUGUAGAGGAUGCUUUUGGUGCGGUGCCUUCCGAGUUCCCUGGAACGGGACGCCAUAGAGGGUGAGAGCCCCGUCUGGUUGGACACCUAUCCUCUGUAAAGCUCCUUCGACGAGUCGAGUAGUUUGGGAAUGCUGCUCUAAAUGGGAGGUAAAUGUCUUCUAAAGCUAAAUACCGGCCAGAGACCGAUAGCGCACAAGUAGAGUGAUCGAAAGAUGAAAAGCACUUUGAAAAGAGGGUUAAAUAGUACGUGAAAUUGUUGAAAGGGAAGCGUUUGUGACCAGACUUGGGCUUGGUUAAUCAUCCAGCGUUCUCGCUGGUGCACUUUGCCAGCCCAGGCCAGCAUCAGUUCGCCGCGGGGGAUAAAAUCUUCGGGAAUGUGGCUCUUCGGAGUGUUAUAGCCCGCUGCACAAUACCCUGUGGCGGACUGAGGUUCGCGCAUCUGCAAGGAUGCUGGCGUAAUGGUCAUCAACGACCCGUCUUGAAACACGGACCAAGGAGUCGUCUUCGUAUGCGAGUGUUCGGGUGUCAAACCCCUACGCGUAAUGAAAGUGAACGGAGGUGGGAGCCUCGGCGCACCAUCGACCGAUCCUGAAGUUUACGGAUGGAUUUGAGUAAGAGCAUACGGGGCCGGACCCGAAAGAAGGUGAACUAUGCCUGUAUAGGGUGAAGCCAGAGGAAACUCUGGUGGAGGCUCGCAGCGGUUCUGACGUGCAAAUCGAUCGUCAAAUAUGGGCAUGGGGGCGAA
rnacentral:rRNA from 1 species